rnacentral:lncRNA from 1 species
AAAAUUUCUUUAUUAUUUUUUUUUCUUCUUUUUCUUUUUCUUUUCUUUUCUCCCUUCUUCUUCCCCGUGCGAUCGUGACUCCCAUCCAUCUUCUCCUUCUUUCCGCCGAUCUCUUCCUUCCAUUUUCUCCUUCCGCCGCAGCCCAGCAACCGCCCGUAGCCCAGCAACCGCCACCCGAGACUUCUCUUCUUCCGUUUCUCUUUCUUUUUCACCAUACCCAGCCGCGAAGCAAGACCGUGCCGCUGCCAGUCCAGAUUUGCGUUGCAGUCGUCCCGCGCGCCGAACUGCCGUCUCCAUCUCCGUUCGCGAAGCAAAACCGCCGCCGCUCGCCGAACCCAACUGCCACCCUCUCUUUUCUUCUUCAGAUCUAAACCGUCGCGCCCAUCUGCCUGUAACUGCCGUGCCUCUUCGCUCACAACCGUCGUGCCUCCCUCGGAAAGCAAAUCGUCGUCCAGAUCUGCCUCGUCGUGAACCAUUGGGCUCAUAUUUGGGUAAGAACAAGUUAUGGUUUUUGUUGGUUUCUUGGUUUUUGUUGGAUGCUGCCAUUGGAUUUAAUUGUUGGCGAAAUGCUUAAUUCUUGAAGGUACAUCUUGAUUCAGUGAGCGAAUCCUUGAUUUUCCAAAAGGUUGAAGUGGACUUGAUUCUCUCACUUCUUGGGUAAGUUGUGGAAUUUACAUAUGGGGUAAUUUGAAUGGUUGAAACUAUUUAGAAAGAUGUUGAUUUUAUGAUUGAUUAUGUUUAGGAUUUGAUUCAUUGGAUUUAGUAGAUUGAAGAACUUGCAUAAAAGUGAGGUAAGGGAUUUUCUACUGGACUCACCUAAAGUUUUUGAGUUGUGUUGGACUGUAUGGAUGAUGAUUAAGAUGUACAUGUUUGAUUGCAGACUAAAUGUUUAGUGUAUGUUGUAUUUGACUGGAAACAUAUAUAUAUACAUUGAUGUGUGAAUUGAUGUGGAUUGCCGAAAGUAUACAUGUGAAUGACUGAAAUUAUGCUUAUGUGUACAUGAUGAUAUUAAUAGAUUGUGCUGUAUAAAGAUUGGAUGUGAACUAGUGAAUUUGUUUCGGUUGGAUGUGGAUUAUACUGAACUGUGGUUUGUGCUGGUGAACUGAGGGGUGUAUUGACUUGAC